rnacentral:rRNA from 1 species
GACGAACGCUGGCGGUGUGCCUCAUACAUGCAAGUCGAACGCGAUGAAAGAGCUUGCUCUUUCGGAAAGUGGCGGACGGGUGAGUACAACAUAGGAAAUCUGCCUUUAGGUGGGGGACAACAGAGGGAAACUUCUGCUAAUACCCCAUAUGAGCGUAGCUGAAAUGCUAUUCUUGAAAACUCCGGUGCUUAAGGAUGAGCCUGCAUCUGAUUAGCUAGUUGGGGGUGUAAUGGACCACCAAGGCGACGAUCAGUAGCUGGUUUGAGAGGAUGAUCAGCCACAAUGGGACUGAGACACGGCCCAUACUCCUACGGGAGGCAGCAGUAGGGAAUUUUGCGCAAUGGGCGAAAGCCUGACGCAGCAACGCCGCGUGAUUGAAGAAGCCCUUCGGGGUGUAAAGAUCUGUCAGUGGGGACG